GCGUCCUGCCUUUCCGCUCGUGGCACGGGAACAGUGUAGGAUGAACCGGUUACACUCUUCUCUCUCCUGCGGCUUCAAAAUAGUGACAGCUGGAGAUGCUCCCUAGUUCUGCAGGCGUUUGAUGAUGUCCUGUCUGACUUUCAGGCCUGCUGCUGAAUAUGAAGACUUGAUGCUACUUCACAAGGAUUUGAAUAAUGCACUCAUGGAAGAAACAUCACCUGGCACUGGGAAAAGCCACGAGAUGAAUGUGCAAGUCUGCCCAGCCUGGAGAUGGAAGAGUGCCUGUGCCCAGCAGAGCUGAUUUACCUUUUCUGAUGUUGGUGAACAUGCUGCUGUUAUAACUGAAGGCUUUGAAAGUGCUUCUCAUCAAGACUACUGUUGUGGAACUGUGAAGUGGUGCAGUUGGUUGUGCUGCAGGCAGAAAUGUGAGAACGGAAGAACUGCCCAAGAUUUUGUGCCAGAUACUUGGUUGAGUGAAGCUGAAGGGGAGCAUGUGAGAAAUAACACCAACUUUGAGGAAAGGACUGCUCUGCCACCUCACUGCGUAAGAUAACACAGAUUAAUUCUCUCUUCUGGGAGUGUUGGUAACCACUGAUGAAACUUGAUUCUGCCAGAUGAAUUUCUGUGAUAUUACCAUUUCCGUUCCAUUCUUUCUGAGGUUACACAGCUGCUGAGAGGAUCUCUUGGCAGGUGUGUCACUGCAUGCUAAGUGUGUUUUCCUGCUUUAGGUGAGGAUGCAACUUUGGAACUGUAUGAGCAAACAGGUGGAAGAUCCCAGGAUAAUGGAUUGCACUUACAUGAGCGGCAUUCAAACAAGACUUUGUGAUGUUAACAUCGCCUCAUACACUGACUGGAGCCAAUAAAAUCUCAUAAACUCUA